AGUGAACGCUGGCGGUAGGCCUAACACAUGCCGGUCGAACGGCAGCACAGUAAGAGCUUGCUCUUACGGGUGGCGAGUGGCGGACGGGUGAGGAAUACAUCGGAAUCUACUUUUUCGUGGGGGAUAACGUAGGGAAACUUACGCUAAUACCGCAUACUACCUACGGGUGAAAGCAGGGGAUCUUCGGACCUUGCGCGAUUGAAUGAGCCGAUGUCGGAUUAGCUAGUUGGCGGGGUAAAGGCACACCAAGGCGACGAUCCGUAGCUGGUCUGAGAGGAUGAUCAGCCACACUGGAACUGAGACACGGUCCAGACUCCUACGGGAGGCAGCAGUGGGGAAUAUUGGACAAUGGGCGCAAGCCUGAUCCAGCCAUACCGCGUGGGUGAAGAAGGCCUUCGGGUUGUAAAGCCCUUUUGUUGGGAAAGAAAAGCAGCAGGUUAAUACCCCGCUGUUCUGACGGUACCCAAAGAAUAAGCCCCGGCUAACUUCGUG
rnacentral:rRNA from 1 species